ANGNCNGNUCUAGUNUAGCAAUUAUACCGCGAAACUGCGAAUGGCUCAUUAUAUAAGUUAUCGUUUAUUUGAUAAUACUUUACUACUUGGAUAACCGUGGUAAUUCUAGAGUAAUACAUCUAAAAAUCCCGACUUCGGAAGGGGUAUUAUUAGAUUAAAACCAAUGCCCCUCGGGGCUCUCUGGUGAAUCAUGAUAACUAGUCGAAUCGACAGGCCUUGUGCCGGCGAUGGCUCAUUCAAAUUUCUUCCCUAUCAACUUUCGAUGUUUGGGUCUUGUCCAAACAUGGGGCAACGGGUAACGGGGAAUGGGGCGGGGGCGGCGGGCCGGGCGCGGGGCGCGGCGGGCG
rnacentral:rRNA from 1 species